rnacentral:rRNA from 1 species
UCGAGAAUUUUUCUCAAUGGGCGAAAGCCUGAAGGAGCGACGCCGCGUGGGGGAUGAAGGGCUUCGGCUCGUAAACCCCUGUCAUUUGCGAACAAACCCUGCGUUUUAACAGAGCGCGGGCUGAUUGUAGCGAAAGAGGAAGGGACGGCUAACUCUGUGCCAGCAGCCGCGGUAAUACAGAGGUCCCAAGCGUUGUUCGGAUUCACUGGGCGUAAAGGGUGCGUAGGUGGCGGGGUAAGUUUGAUGUGAAAUCUCCGGGCUUAACCCGGAAACUGCAUUGAAUACUAUCCUGCUUGAGGGUUGGAGGGGGGACUGGAAUUCUCGGUGUAGCAGUGAAAUGCGUAGAUAUCGAGAGGAACACCAGUGGCGAAGGCGAGUCCCUGGACAACUCCUGACACUGAGGCACGAAAGCUAGGGGAGCAAACAGGAUUAGAUACCCCUGUAGUCC